rfam:Methanomicrobiales archaeon 53_19 MPJ_scaffold_13, whole genome shotgun sequence.
CGGGAUACCUCCCGUCAAGGAAUGUGGCUUCAACACGAUAAGCCGAACCUGGAG